CAGUAGCCGCGGGAAUACGGAGGGGGCUAGCGUUGUUCGGAAUUACUGGGCGUAAAGCGCGCGUAGGCGGUUACUCAAGUCAGAGGUGAAAGCCCGGGGCCCAACCCCGGAACUGCCUUUGAAACUAGGUGACUAGAAUCUUGGAGAGGUCAGUGGAAUUCCGAGUGUAGAGGUGAAAUUCGUAGAUAUUCGGAGGAACACCAGUGGCGAAGGCGGCUCACUGGUCCAUUACUGACGCUGAGGUGCGAAAGCGUGGGGAGCAAACAGGAUUAGAUACCCAGUAGUCCCUGUCUCUUAUACA
rnacentral:rRNA from 1 species